UCAGAUGACGCGGCGGCAUGCUACACUGCAAGUCGAACGGCAGCACGGGUGCUUGCACUGGUGGCGAGUGGCGAACGGUUGAGUAAUACAUCGGAACAUGUCCAGUAGUGGGGGAUAGCCCGGCGAAAGCCGGAUUAAUACCGCAUACGAUCCAUGGAUGAAAGCGGGGGACCUUCGGGCCUCGCGCUAUUGGGGUGGCCGAUGGCGGAUUAGGUAGUUGGUGGGGUAAAGGCCUACCAAGCCGACGAUCCGUAGCUGGUCUGAGAGGACGACCAGCCACACUGGGACUGAGACACGGCCCAGACUCCUACGGGAGGCAGCAGUGGGGAAUUUUGGACAAUGGGCGAAAGCCUGAUCCAGCAAUGCCGCGUGUGUGAAGAAGGCCUUCGGGUUGUAAAGCACUUUUGUCCGGAAAGAAAUCCUCUGCCCUAAUACGGCGGGGGGAUGACGGUACCGGAAGAAUAAGCACCGGCUAACUACGUGCCAGCAGCCGCGGUAAUACGUAGGGUGCAAGCGUUAAUCGGAAUUACUGGGCGUAAAGCGUGCGCAGGCGGUGAUGCAAGACCGAUGUGAAAUCCCCGGGCUUAACCUGGGAACUGCAUUGGUGACUGCAUCGCUGGAGUAUGGCAGAGGGGGGUAGAAUUCCACGUGUAGCAGUGAAAUGCGUAGAGAUGUGGAGGAAUACCGAUGGCGAAGGCAGCCCCCUGGGCCAAUACUGACGCUCAUGCACGAAAGCGUGGGGAGCAAACAGGAUUAGAUACCCUGGUAGUCCACGCCCUAAACGAUGUCAACUGGUUGUCGGGCCUUCAUUGGCUUGGUAACGUAGCUAACGCGUGAAGUUGACCGCCUGGGGAGUACGGUCGCAAGAUUAAAACUCAAAGGAAUUGACGGGGACCCGCACAAGCGGUGGAUGAUGUGGAUUAAUUCGAUGCAACGCGAAAAACCUUACCUACCCUUGACAUGUACGGAAUCCUGGUGAGAGCUGGGAGUGCCCGAAAGGGAGCCGUAAC
rnacentral:rRNA from 1 species